rnacentral:ncRNA from 1 species
UGAAUCCCGCCUGGGUAAACGCUAGCCACGUGCCCGGUAUCGAGUGUUGCAGCGGCUGUAUAAGACCUUGGGUCGAAGUCAGUCGUUGAAGCGUACACAGAAAGGUAGUGAGGAUGAAGCGAUCGUAGGUGGCCCUGCGACGUUGAAUGGAAUUAGCCCCGAAAUUUUGUACCUGUUGGAUCCUGCCCAAGGUUUGUUCACACCUGAAGGCAACAUCGUUUGCAGCGCUUAUGGCAAGUUGCAAAGGAAGACCCGGGGUCGGCGGCCC